rnacentral:rRNA from 1 species
UACGAAGGGGGCUAGCGUUGUUCGGAAUUACUGGGCGUAAAGGGCGCGUAGGCGGUGUGUCAAGUCGGGGGUGAAAGCCCGGGGCUCAACCCCGGAACUGCCCUCGAAACUAGAUAGCUAGAAUCUUGGAGAGGCGAGUGGAAUUCCGAGUGUAGAGGUGAAAUUCGUAGAUAUUCGGAAGAACACCAGUGGCGAAGGCGACUCGCUGGACAAGUAUUGACGCUGAGGUGCGAAAGCGUGGGGAGCAAACAGG